rnacentral:rRNA from 1 species
GGGUUGUGAGGUUAAGCGACUAAGCGUACACGGUGGAUGCCCUGGCAGUCAGAGGCGAUGAAGGACGUGCUAAUCUGCGAUAAGCGUCGGUAAGGUGAUAUGAACCGUUAUAACCGGCGAUUUCCGAAUGGGGAAACCCAGUGUGAUUCGUCACACUAUCAUUAACUGAAUCCAUAGGUUAAUGAGGCGAACCGGGGGAACUGAAACAUCUAAGUACCCCGAGGAAAAGAAAUCAACCGAGAUUCCCCCAGUAGCGGCGAGCGAACGGGGAGCAGCCCAGA